GUAACUCAGUCUGGUUUACCGGGCCAGACGGUCGCGAUGAGGGCGGUGCAGCCGGCGGCUUCAUGCGCGAUGUGCCACGGUAGUUCUUUUUCGCGAUGAUGGCGUCGCGAAAAGCCGCAUUUCUUCCCGCAGAGCAUUUGAGGCUUUUUAGUAUUUGGAACAAUUCACGGCAUUUGGAACAAUUCACGUACGCUAUACUGCCGAAGCGCUCCGUGCAUUUCGCGAAAGCAUGCAAGGCAGCCGAGCGAAAUCUUCGAUUUCUGAAGCACGAAAGACGGCUCUCUGACGCCUACAAGCGCCGGAAAGCCAAAGUGUUCAAGCAGGAGACAACAGAAAAGCUACGCCACAAAGGAGCGGCUGAAGGUGUGGCAUUGCUAGACCAGCCCAUCUCUGGCACGAACAUCCUCGACAGCUUCUUCCUCAUUGACUAUGUCCGCCAGCAGGCAGUCAGAAGUGCAUCGUCAUCAUGAUCAUUCACCCAUGCACCUACGAGCUCUUCACCAUGAUGACACCAGAUCUUACGAAGCCGUCGCAGUCACUAGCCCAAAAAUGUCAAGCGUCCUCGUGGAUUCAGCUGAAAAUUAUGGGACGCUGCCAGAGAGAGUUCGAAACCGAGGAGAUGUGAGAAAGAGGAAGAUACGGGAUGAAGACGACCGAUCUUGAGACGCUGCCAGUUUUUUAACGACAGGCUUUUGUAGAAAGGAGAACGAAGAAAAACACGAGCGCAUAAAGAGCGCACAUCUUUCACUCAGUGACAGAAUAGUAAUUACUCGAGGCCACCAGCAAUUUUGUCCAAGAUUUCCACGAAACGCGAGAAUGGGAACAGCCCAGGAAAAUUCGGACAACAAAAGCAACAGCGAGAUUUGCGUCGCACCCGAGAAGAUUGCGGCUGAAGUUGGAUACAUGACUGCGCGAAUAAAGCAUUGUCUUGCUUUGUGCUCCCUUUCCGUUAUUCCUUCAGUGAUCUGUUUCUACGCUACACAGCGUAGACACCUCUAGGUUAACGACAGCCUGUUUUUUCUUCUUUUUUUUUUCAGAGUCCACAACGCUCGCAGUCUGGCCCCUCAUAGGUUAUUCUUAGACGACGUUUACGCUUGAAUUGUGGAAGCUUUUCUUAUUAUUUCUUAAGUUGUCGCAAUACUCGUUUCACUGAAGCUAUGUCCCUCGUAAAAAAUAAAAGCAACAUAACUAAUUAAAAUGCAAGAAAUAGCACAACAUGAACCUACUCAAAGUUCACUGCAGUGUUUAAGACAUUACAUCAACCAUUGUAGCAGAUGUUGGUGCGCGGUCCGAUUAUCCGAUAUCUCUGCACAAAGCAGAUUUUAUGUCGAGAUUAUUAAAGUGUACAAUUUAUCAUGCGAUAUUUCCUACCUAUAUUAACUAUUGUCGCCUUGUCUGGCU